GAUUAACGCUAGCGGCAGGCCUAAUACAUGCAAGUCGAACGGGAUUUCGGGUAGCAAUAUCUGAAUGAGAGUGGCGUACGGGUGCGUAACACGUAUGCAAUCUACCUCUGACUGGGGAAUAGCCUUCCGAAAGGAAGAUUAAUACCGCAUAAAAUAAUGAAGUGGCAUCACUUUAUUAUCAAAACUCUGGUGGUCAGAGAUGAGCAUGCGUCCGAUUAGCUAGUUGGCGGGGUAACGGCCCACCAAGGCGACGAUCGGUAGGGGUCUGAGAGGAUGAUCCCCCACCACUGG
rnacentral:rRNA from 1 species